GGAGCCUCCUCCUGCUGCAGGUGGCCAUGGGUGUGGAAAGAGGAACGUUCAAUCCAAGCAGACCGCAGAUGUGAUGCCCACCUGCCCUUGUGCUUCCUUUUGCCCACAUUAGUGGAAGUUAAGAGACGUGCCAGACCUAGGCAUCUGAGAGCCAACAACUGAGCUGUGCCUGAAGGAGGAACUACUGGAGUGGAACGCAUCAGUCAAGCCAAGAGCCACCAGCCAGAAUGCCACUGUGGGAGAACAUCUGGUACCACUGAAAGAAACUAGGGGCUGGAAAAGCCAGGGGGACACACGUCCAGUAAAGCAAGGAACACAGACUUUGCAGAGAAACUUUCUACAAAAGAGUACAAGGGGCCAACAGACACAGGUCCACAGGCAGCAGAGAUGUCAGCUUUUUGUGCUGUUGAAGGCUACACCAUGGUCAAGGUCGUAACACUGCCAUUUCUUUUAAACCACAUGUUUUUUGCACCAUGCCUGCACAAGUCUUAAUACAAGUGUGGAGCAUCUAGAUGUCCCUGCCAUCCAGGUGAUAGCAUAUGACAUGGUGCCAAGGAGCACCUAAGGAUGUGUGGGAGAGGUAGCUGCAGGGGCUGAAUCUGCAGGGUUUGGUAUCCUCCAUUGUAGCUCUGCUUGUGACUCCAUAGUGAUGCUAAGGGCUGCCCUCUCUCACUAAGAAGAGCUGACAGAUCCUCUCAGAAAAUCAAGGGCUAUGCAUACCACGUGUCUCUGGGGAAUCUAUGGCCUGGGAGGAGGCAGACGAGGUGUCGAUUCUGACAGUGUUUUCAAAGAAGGUACAAGUCUUUCUGGCUUAUUGAAACAUUUGUUUUGACUUUUAUAAUAUAGCAUAAA